CGUGACAAUAGAGUUCUGAAUUAAUUGCGUUAAUGUAUUCUGUCGUGCUCAACCGCCGCGCUGAUAGUAAAAAAACACGAUACUAGUUUUGUAACCGUUCCGGUGGAGAUAUUUACAUUUUUAGCAUCCGAAAGCUCUCGUCAUUUAGGAAGAUUAAUAUUUUGUUAUUUCCGUUUUGUUUAUUAAUUCUUAGAAGAUUUUAGUUUUUCGUCGUUAAUGUAAAACAGUAGAUAAGCAGAUCUCUCGCUUGACCCGAGAAUUGCAAUCAACAAUUGGACUAAUUUUGGAAUUUCAACCCGACCAAUUAAGUAAGCAUAAUUAGUCAUUGGAAGUGCGCUAAUUUAUCAAGAUCUUGAAGCCGGUUUCCAGAUUUUUAGGAUGUCAGGGAGAAGUUUUAAUGUUGUGCGUUAUCAUACGGAUUCACCGUGAUUUUUGGAAAGUGCAACGUUUCCCUAUCCGAAUUUGCGGAAUUCUAUAAAAGAUAAGAACGUGAUUAGAAGGGAUCUUCUGUAUUUUCAAUUUUGCUUCCGAAAUUCCGAGACCGUCCCACCGACCUUGGACAGGAGCAAGGAUUGAUAAUCUCCUGGUGGCGCUCGAGAUUUCCGCAGACGUUUCCACCGUCUGUUGUUUUAAAUUAAAUUUGCCAAGGCACCGUUUUGCGUAGAUUGCCGAACGUUUUUCGCAUAAAAUUUGGCGUCCGAGGAGGGGCAAAUGAACCGUUUUAACCCUUAAGCAGGAGUUGAACUUCCACUUGCAAUUACACAUAAUUUGACAGCUCAUACGCCGACCAUUUACCCAUUGGUUACGCUAGAGGGGUGUACGACCGAUCCGAUAAUACUGUAGCUACUCGAGGAUGUACGCAAAAACAGGAGCCCCACAGAGUUCAUUUCGUAGUUCAUUGUUCUGCAACUGUAGGUCACGCACAGUAUCUUUUUGAAUUUAACUAUUAUUCAUCCCCACAUAAGCAAAGCUGUACCUGUGGAAAAGAUUCAUAACUGCGUACGUCGGCGUCGUACGUUAUUACUUUUUAAAUUUCUUUGAAGUUGUUUUGGUGCAAUAUCGUUGACCUACUUCAUUGACGCGUUUGUGGAUAAUAUUUUAUAAGUUUUAAAAGCCGCUAGGAUUUUUCUUUUGGUUUUCUCUUGUCCUCCUCGAUUUCUACAUUGAACGUUUCGAAUAUUACGAUCUACUUCGAUGUCCUUAGUGAAAUAUCUACGUGGAGUUUCGAUACCUACGAUUUUAUGUACGUCAAAUUUUGUCGUUACGAAAAAUUCAUGCCUACUAGCUUAAUUACGUUUCAAAUCCUUUAGUUUUGUUUUACGAAAAUAUUUAAUUAUUUUUAAAUUGUAAAUUAGUUUCUUGAAAUUACGUUACAUUUAUUUUUACCGCUACUGA